rnacentral:rRNA from 1 species
AGUGAACGCUGGCGGUAGGCCUAACACAUGCAAGUCGAACGCCAGCACAGUAAGAGCUUGCUCUUACGGGUGGCGAGUGGCGGACGGGUGAGGAAUACAUCGGAAUCUACUUUUUCGUGGGGGAUAACGUAGGGAAACUUACGCUAAUACCGCAUACGACCUACGGGUGAAAGCAGGGGAUCUUCGGACCUUGCGCGAUUGAAUGAGCCGAUGUCGGAUUAGCUAGUUGGCGGGGUAAAGGCCCACCAAGGCGACGAUUCGUAGCUGGUCUGAGAGGAUGAUCAGCCACACUGGAACUGAGACACGGUCCAGACUCCUACGGGAGGCAGCAGUGGGGAAUAUUGGACAAUGGGCGCAAGCCUGAUCCAGCCAUACCGCGUGGGUGAAGAAGGCCUUCGGGUUGUAAAGCCCUUUUGUUGGGAAAGAAAAGCAGCAGGUUAAUACCCCGCUGUUCUGACGGUACCCAAAGAAUAAGCACCGGCUAACUUCGUG